GACGAACGCUGGCGGCGUGCUUAACACAUGCAAGUCGAACGGUGAAGGGACCAGUUUGCUGGUUCUGGAUGAGUGGCGAACGGGUGAGUAAUACGUGAGUAACCUGCCCCCUUCUUCUGGAUAACCGCAUGAAAGUGUGGCUAAUACGGGAUAUUUAGGGUCUGUUGCAUGGCGGGCCAGGGAUAGAUAUUGUUUCGGUGGGGGUUGGGCUCGCGGCCUAUCAGCUUGUUGGUGGGGUGAUGGCCUACCAAGGCGGGGACGGGUAGCCGGCCUGAGAGGGUGGACGGUCACGCUGGGACUGAGACACGACCCAGACGCCUACGGGAGGCAGCAGUGGGGGAUAUUACACGAUGGGCGCAAGCCUGAUGCAGCGAAGCCGCGUGAGGGAUGGAGGCCUUCGGGUUGUAAACCUCUUUGGCAAGUAAAGCAGGCCUGGUCCUUGUGAGUGGGUUGACGGUAGCUGGAUAAGAAGCGACGGCUAACUACGUG
rnacentral:rRNA from 1 species